rnacentral:lncRNA from 10 species
CCACAUCUAAUGCCACCUCCUUGGAGAAGCCUUCCAUGGCAUGCUCCUGCUCAAAAUUCUCCCUCCUCUAUGAUCCGCAGCCUCUGACAGCUUCCUGCAGUGGGGUCCAGGGUGGCUGUGCAGGCCGCGACUCGUGCUUGUUGAGGACCCUGGCAUGAUGCCCUCCAUUCAGGUGGAAUCAGGGGCAGAACAAGGGCCACUGGCCGGAGCUGUGGGAGGGGUGGUUGGCUCAGUCACAGGGAGAGCUUGCUCUCGGAGUUGUCCACGGAGGCCUCCUGGUCAGGCAAGGAGCUCCCUGUUCCUGGGAUGGGCAAGCCAAGGGGGAGGGAGAGUGGCCUCCUGCGCAGCCAUAACAAAGCCUCGCAGAGCACAGGGCUCAAACAACAGAAAUGGUUUCCUCACACUUCUGGAGGCUGGGGGUCCAAGGUCAAGGUGCCAGCAGGGCUGGUUCCUUCUGAGGUCUCACUCCUCAGCCUUGGUCCUCACAGGGUCUUCCCUCUGUAUGUGUCUGUGUCCUAAUCUCCUCUUCCUAUAAAGACACCAGUCAGAUUGGAUUGAGGCCCACCCACAUGACCUCACUUUGCCUUAAUUAUCUCCUUCAAGACCCUCAUUCCAAAUGAUACUGGGGGGAUGUGAGGGCGAUCUGGCUGCGACAUCUGUCACGCCAUUGAUUGCCAGGGUUGAUUCGGUUGAUCUUGCUGGCUAGACGGGUGUCCCCUUCCUCCCUCACUGCUCCACAUGCGUCCCUCCCAAAGCUGCAUGCUCCAUUGACCAUCCCCAACAGAGGAGGACCGGUCUUCGGUCAAGGGUAUAUGAGUAGCUGCACUCCCCUGCUAGAACCUCCAAACAAGCUCUCAAGGUCCAAAUGACACUGGGGGUUAGGGCUUCAACACAGGAAUUUGGGGUGCACAAUUCAACCCAUAAGCUAUGGCCUCUCGUUGGGUGGGGCAGAAACUUCAACGAUUACAGCUGUGACUCCCUGCUGGAGGUGCUAUGAAGCCAGGACCCGUCUUUUGUGGCUACCCUGGGGGUCAGGAGACCUGGGCCCUCGUCCCAGCCCCUCUGUGCCUGUGCUUUGGGGCCUUGGCUGAGUCUCUGCUUCCGUGAGCCCCUUGUCCUCCCUAUUCUGUCAGGAUACGUGGUCCAAGGCCCAUUGUUGCCCAGGAAAGAGAGGGUGCCCACCCAGCACCUUCAUGGCCAGCUCCAGGGCUGGCACAGCUGGAGCAAAGCCACUCCUGGUCCCCAAAGAUGCGGGAACAGAAGGCCAGGAGGGCGUCCCC